CCUACGGGGGGCAGCAGUGAGGAAUAUUGGUCAAUGGGCGGGAGCCUGAACCAACCAAGUCGCGUGAGGGAUGACGGCCCUAUGGGUUGUAAACCCCUUUUGCCGGGGAGCAAAGUGCCGCACGUGUGCGGUUUGGAGAGUACCCGGAGAAAAAGCAUCGGCAAACUCCGUGCCAGCAGCCGCGGUAAUACGGGGGAUGCGAGCGUUAUCCGGAUUUAUUGGGGUUAAAGGGUGGGUAGGCGGACGCUUAAGUCAGCGGUAAAAUUGCGGGGUUCAACCUCGUCGAGCCGGUGAAACUGGGUGCCUUGAGUGGGCGAGAGGUCCGCGGAAUUCGUGGUGUAGCGGUGAAAUGCAUAGAUAUCACGAAGAACUCCGAUUGCGAAGGCAGCGUACCGGCGCCCAACUGACGCUGAGGCACGAAGGCGUGGGUAUCGAACAGGAUUAGAUACCCGAGUAGUC
rnacentral:rRNA from 1 species